UACGGAGGGAGCUAGCGUUGUUCGGAAUUACUGGGCGUAAAGCGCGCGUAGGCGGCUUUGUAAGUUAGAGGUGAAAGCCCGGGGCUCAACCCCGGAACUGCCUUUAAGACUGCAUCGCUUGAAUCCAGGAGGAGGUGAGUGGAAUUCCGAGUGUAGAGGUGAAAUUCGUAGAUAUUCGCAAGAACACCAGUGGCGAAGGCGGCUCACUGGCCCGUAACUGACGCUGAGGUGGCGAAAAGCGUGGGGAGCAAACAGG
rnacentral:rRNA from 1 species